rnacentral:rRNA from 1 species
GGAAAUCUUACCGGGUCCGGACACACUGAGGAUUGACAGGUGUUUGUGGUUAACUCUCUUCUGAGUGUUUUCCACUAUAAAUAUGCUAGUCCUUUCAUGAUUGUGUGAUAGGUGGUGCAUGGCCGUUCUUAGUUCGUGGAGUGAUCUGUCUGCUUAAUUGCGUUUCACAAAGAACUUUCUAACUUUUACCUGUUGCGCGGCAUUGUGUCCUUUAAUUAGGUACCGAUGUCUGUGCACGGUAGAGAAAAAGUUCUGAAGGCAACGAACGUGACCGCAUCCUCUUGUUGCCUCUUUUGAUUUAUUCAACAUGAGCAUUCUAUCUAUCUAGAUAGGUGUUCUGCAUAGAGUGCGAACUAGAGGGACCGCUGACGACUUUUAAAACAGAGGAAGGUUGCGGCAAUAACA